rnacentral:piRNA from 1 species
AUUCNGCAUAAACUGAGGUAUACUAUGGUAC